rnacentral:rRNA from 1 species
CGGAGGGUGCAAGCGUUAUCCGGAUUUACUGGGUUUAAAGGGUGUGUAGGCGGGCUAUUAAGUCAGCGGUGGAAUCUCCGGGCUCAACCCGGAAACUGCCAUUGAUACUAUUAGUCUUGAAUUUUGUUGAGGUAGGCGGAAUAAGUCAUGUAGCGGUGAAAUGCAUAGAUAUGACUUAGAACACCAAUUGCGAAGGCAGCUUGCUAAACAAAUAUUGACGCUGAGGCACGAAAGCGUGGGGAUCAAACAGGAUUAGAUACCCUGGUAGUCCACGCCCUAAACGAUGAUUACUCGACAUACGCGAUACACAGUGUGUGUCUGAGCGAAAGCAUUAAGUAAUCCACCUGGGAAGUACGACCGCAAGGUUG